rnacentral:rRNA from 1 species
CAGUAGCCGCGGUAAUACGUAGGGUGCGAGCGUUAAUCGGAAUUACUGGGCGUAAAGCGUGCGCAGGCGGUUCGUUAAGACAGAUGUGAAAUCCCCGGGCUUAACCUGGGAACUGCAUUUGUGACUGGCGAGCUAGAGUAUGGCAGAGGGGGGUAGAAUUCCACGUAUAGCAGUGAAAUGCGUAGAGAUGUGGAGGAAUACCGAUGGCGAAGGCAGCCCCCUGGGCCAAUACUGACGCUCAUGCACGAAAGCGUGGGGAGCAAACAGGAUUAGAUACCCCCGUAGUCCCUGUCUCUUAUAC